GACGAACGCUGGCGGCGUGCCUAAUACAUGCAAGUUGAGCGCUGAAGGUUGGUACUUGUACCAACUGGAUGAGCAGCGAACGGGUGAGUAACGCGUGGGGAAUCUGCCUUUGAGCGGGGGACAACAUUUGGAAACGAAUGCUAAUACCGCAUAAAAACUUUAAACACAAGUUUUAAGUUUGAAAGAUGCAAUUGCAUCACUCAAAGAUGAUCCCGCGUUGUAUUAGCUAGUUGGUGAGGUAAAGGCUCACCAAGGCGAUGAUACAUAGCCGACCUGAGAGGGUGAUCGGCCACAUUGGGACUGAGACACGGCCCAAACUCCUACGGGAGGCAGCAGUAGGGAAUCUUCGGCGAUGGACGAAAGUCUGACCGAGCAACGCCGCGUGAGUGAAGAAGGUUUUCGGAUCGUAAAACUCUGUUGGUAGAGAAGAACGUUGGUGAGAGUGGAAAGCUCAUCAAGUGACGGUAACUACCCAGAAAGGGACGGCUAACUACGUG
rnacentral:rRNA from 1 species